rnacentral:rRNA from 1 species
UACGUAGGGUGCGAGCGUUAAUCGGAAUUACUGGGCGUAAAGCGUGCGUAGGCGGUUCGUUAAGUUCGUUGUGAAAGCCCCGGGCUCAACCUGGGAACUGCAAUGGAAACUGGCGGGCUUGAGUGUGGCAGAGGGGGGUGGAAUUCCGCGUGUAGCAGUGAAAUGCGUAGAGAUGCGGAGGAACACCGAUGGCGAAGGCAGUCCCCUGGGCCUGUACUGACGCUCAUGCACGAAAGCGUGGGGAGCAAACAGG